GUGACCUCAAAUCAGGUAGGACUACCCGCUGAACUUAAGCAUAUCAAUAAGCGGAGGAAAAGAAACUAACAAGGAUUCCCCUAGUAACUGCGAGUGAAGCGGGAAAAGCUCAAAUUUAAAAUCUGGCAGUCUUUGGCUGUCCGAGUUGUAAUCUAGAGAAGUGCUAUCCGCGCUGGACCGUGUACAAGUCUCCUGGAAUGGAGCGUCAUAGAGGGUGAGAAUCCCGUCUUUGACACGGACUGCCAGGGCUUUGUGAUACGCUCUCAAAGAGUCGGGUUGUUUGGGAAUGCAGCUCAAAAUGGGUGGUAAAUUCCAUCUAAAGCUAAAUAUUGGCGAGAGACCGAUAGCGAACAAGUACCGUGAGGGAAAGAUGAAAAGAACUUUGGAAAGAGAGUUAAACAGUACGUGAAAUUGCUGAAAGGGAAACGCUCGAAGUCAGUCGCGUUGUCCAGGGAUCAACCUCGCUUUUGCUUGGCGUACUUUCUGGUUGACGGGUCAGCAUCAAUUUUGACCAUUGGAAAAAGACUAGGGGAAUGUGACAUCUUUGGAUGUGUUAUAGCCCUUGGUUGCAUACAAUGGUUGGGAUUGAGGAACUCAGCACGCCGCAAGGCCGGGUUUUAAACCACGUACGUGCUUAGGAUGCUGGCAUA
rnacentral:rRNA from 1 species